GACGAACACUGGCGGCGUGCUUAACACAUGCAAGUCGAACGGAAAGGCCCUGCUUUUGUGGGGUGCUCGAGUGGCGAACGGGUGAGUAACACGUGAGUAACCUGCCCUUGACUUUGGGAUAACUUCAGGAAACUGGGGCUAAUACCGGAUAGGAGCUCCUGCUGCAUGGUGGGGGUUGGAAAGUUUCGGCGGCUGGGGAUGGACUCGCGGCUUAUCAGCUUGUUGGUGGGGUAGUGGCUUACCAAGGCUUUGACGGGUAGCCGGCCUGAGAGGGUGACCGGCCACAUUGGGACUGAGAUACGGCCCAGACUCCUACGGGAGGCAGCAGUGGGGAAUAUUGCACAAUGGGCGGAAGCCUGAUGCAGCAACGCCGCGUGCGGGAUGACGGCCUUCGGGUUGUAAACCGCUUUCGCCUGUGACGAAGCGUGAGUGACGGUAAUGGGUAAAGAAGCACCGGCUAACUACGUG
rnacentral:rRNA from 1 species